CCUACGGGUGGCUGCAGUCGGGAAUAUUGCGCAAUGGAGGAAACUCUGACGCAGUGACGCCGCGUAUAGGAAGAAGGUUUUCGGAUUGUACACGAUUGUCGUUAGGGAAGAUAAAAGACUGUACCGAAGGAGGAAGCCCCGGCUAACUAUGUGCCGGCAGCCGCGGUAAUACAUAGGGGGCAAGCGUUAGCCGGAAUUAGUGGGUGUAAAGGGUGCGUAGGCGGAAGAACAAGUUGGUUGUGAAAUCCUUCGGCUCAACUGAGGAACUGCAACCAAAACUAUUCCCCUUGAGUGUGGGAGAGGAAAGUGGAAUGCCUGGUGUAGCGGUGAAAUGCGUAGAUAUUAGGAGGAACACCAGUGGCGAAGGCGACUUUCUGGACGAUAACUGACGUUGAGGCACGAAAGUGUGGGGAGCAAACAGGAUUAGAUACCCUGGUAGUC
rnacentral:rRNA from 1 species